rnacentral:rRNA from 1 species
GAACCGCGUGAAGGAUCAUUAAUGAGAGAGGGGCCUCGCGCCCCCGGGGGGUUCCGGCCCCCCAACUCUUCGCCCUUUGUUUACCUUGCCACCGUUGCUUUGGCGGGCCACGGGUUUAAUCCCGCACUUACCAGAGGCGGUUUCGCCCGGGUCGGUGAGCGCCCGUCGGAGGCCUAAAACACUCUGUUUGAUCAGUGAUGUCCGAGUAAAAACCACAAUAGUAAAAAACUUUCAACAACGGAUCUCUUGGUUCUGGCAUCGAUGAAGAACGCAGCGAAAUGCGAUAAGUAAUGUGAAUUGCAGAAUUCAGUGAAUCAUCGAAUCUUUGAACGCACAUUGCGCCCCUCGGUAUUCCGGGGGGCAUGCCUGUUCGAGCGUCAUUGCACCCCUCAAGCGUAGCUUGGUUUUGGGCCUCGCCCCCCAGGGUGUCCCCGAAAAUCAGUGGCGGUCCGGUGUGACUUCAAGCGCAGUAAAAAUUUCCCGCUUUGGAAGUUCGCGUCGCGGCCUGCCAGAACAGCCCCAACUUAUCUUCAAUGAUUGACCUCGGAUCAGGUAGGGAUACCCGCUGAACUUAA